UACGGAGGGUGCAAGCGUUAAUCGGAAUUACUGGGCGUAAAGCGUGCGUAGGUGGUUCGUUAAGUCCGUUGUGAAAGCCCCGAGCUCAACUUGGGAAUUGCAGUGGAUACUGGCGAGCUGGAGUGCGGUAGAGGAAGGUGGAAUUCCCGGUGUAGCGGUGAAAUGCGUAGAGAUCGGGAGGAACACCAGUGGCGAAGGCGGCCUUCUGGACCAGCACUGACACUCAAGCACGAAAGCGUGGGGAGCAACAGG
rnacentral:rRNA from 1 species